rnacentral:rRNA from 1 species
CUGAUACAGUGAGGUAGUGACAAUAAAUAACGUUGACUGGUCUUAUUAGAUCAGUCACACGGAAUGAGAACAAUUUAAACACCUUAACGAGGACCAAUUGGAGGGCAAGUCUGGUGCCAGCAGCCGCGGUAAUUCCAGCUCCAAUAGCGUAUAUUAAAGUUGUUGCAGUUAAAAAGCUCGUAGUUGGAUUUCUGGUGCAUUCCACUGGCCUAUUGGUUAACUCCAACUUGGCUCAUUUGGAAUACGCCAUCUUUAGGCAGACCCGUCGUGGCAUUAGGUUGUCGUGAUGGUUACGCCUAUCGUUUACUGUGAAGAAAUUAGGGUGUUCAAAGCAGGCUUAUGCCAUGAAUACGUUAGCAUGGAAUAAUGAGAUAGGAUUUCGGUACUAUUUUGUUGGUUUGUGUACGGAAAUAAUGAUUAACAGGAACAGUGUUGUGGGUAUUCGUAUUUCGUUGUCAGAGGUGAAAUUCUUGGAUUUACGAAAGACGAACGACUGCGAAAGCAUUUACCAA